rnacentral:rRNA from 1 species
UGGGGAAUAUUGGACAAUGGGCGAAAGCCUGAUCCAGCCAUGCCGCGUGUGUGAAGAAGGUCUUCGGAUUGUAAAGCACUUUAAGUUGGGAGGAAGGGCAGUAAGCGAAUACCUUGCUGUUUUGACGUUACCGACAGAAUAAGCACCGGCUAACUCUGUGCCAGCAGCCGCGGUAAUACAGAGGGUGCAAGCGAUAAUCGGAAUUACUGGGCGUAAAGCGCGCGUAGGUGGUUCGUUAAGUUGUAUGUGAAAGCCCCGGGCUCAACCUUGGUACUGCAUCCAAAGCUGGCGAGCUAGAGUAGGGCAAAGUGUGGUGGAAUUUUCUGUGUAGCGGUGAAAUACGUAGUUAUCGGAAGGAACACCAGUGGCGAAGGCAACCACCUGGGCUCAUACUGACACUGAGGUGCGAAAGCGUGGGGAGCAAACAGG